CUUGGUCAUUUAGAGGAAGUAAAAGUCGUAACAAGGUCUCCGUUGGUGAACCAGCGGAGGGAUCAUUACCGAGUUAUUACUCCAAACCCUUUGUGAACCUUACCAUUUUGUUGCUCGGCGUACCGCGGGCCGCGGCUUCGGCCCGUCCCGCAGCGCGCCAGAGGACCCAACUCUUCAAUUUAUAGCGUACCUUCUGAUUUACAAAACAAACAAGUUAAAACCUUCAACAACGGAUCUCUUGGUUCUGGCAUCGAUGAAGAACGCAGCGAAUCGUAAUCAUGUCAAGUCU
rnacentral:rRNA from 1 species